UGGUCAUUACCAAGGCUUUUAGAAUGCAGCUUCUCAUUUGCUAUGGACAUGAUCACAAAAUAUUUUCCCAUUAGGUUGUUUUUUCUGCUACGUUGGUAGCAUUCAGCUUAUUGGGAACAUUU